rnacentral:rRNA from 1 species
ACUCCUACGGGAGGCAGCAGUGGGGAAUAUUGCACAAUGGGCGCAAGCCUGAUGCAGCCAUGCCGCGUGUAUGAAGAAGGCCUUCGGUUGUAAAGUACUUUCAGCAGUGAGGAAGGUGGGUAGUGUUAAUAGCAUACUCAUUUGACGUUAGCUGCAGAAGAAGCACCGGCUAACUCCGUGCCAGCAGCCGCGGUAAUACGGAGGGUGCGAGCGUUAAUCGGAAUUACUGGGCGUAAAGCGCAUGCAGGUGGUUUGUUAAGUCAGAUGUGAAAGCCCGGGGCUCAACCUCGGAAUUGCAUUUGAAACUGGCAAACUAGAGUACUGUAGAGGGGGUGGAAUUUCAGGUGUAGCGGUGAAAUGCGUAGAGAUCUGAAGGAAUACCGGUGGCGAAGGCGGCCCCCUGGACAGAUACUGACACUCAGAUGCGAAAGCGUGGGGAGCAAACAGGAUUAGAUACCCUGGUAGGACAGUG